AUUGAACGCUGGCGGCAGGCCUAACACAUGCAAGUCGAACGAGUGGCGGACGGGUGAGUAAUGUCUGGGAAACUGCCUGAUGGAGGGGGAUAACUACUGGAAACGGUAGCUAAUACCGCAUACCAUCAGAUGUGCCCAGAUGGGAUUAGCUAGUUGGUGGGGUAACGGCUCACCAAGGCGACGCUCCCUAGCUGGUCUGAGAGGAUGACCAGCCACACUGUAACUGAGACAAGGUCCAGAAUCCUACGGAGGGCAGCAGGGGGGAAUAUUGCACAAUGGGCGCAAGCCUGAUGCAGCCAUGCCGCGUGUAUGAAGAAGGCCUUCGGGUUGUAAAGUACUGUCAGCGGGGAGGCGUUACCCGCAGAAGAAGCACCGGCUAACUCCGUGCCAGCCGCCGCGGUAAUAC
rnacentral:rRNA from 1 species